rnacentral:lncRNA from 1 species
AUAUAGUUUAUCUGUUUACUGAAUGCGGGAUCAUGAAGGUAUUAAAGGGUGUGUCAAAUUUAUUAGUGUGAAGUAUAUAAAACUGUGUUUGGGCUGUAAUCAUGAUGAUAUCAAACUGAAACUGAAAAGACAGAAAUAACUUUAAGUACCAAACAUACAUUCUAACUUUCUAAUUGAAAAACUUAUGGUCUCCAGAGGAGACAGUUUGGGGGGUGGGGGGAUGUGCCUGGGCUGUGGGAUGGAAAUCCUGUGAAAUCAGAUUGUUAUGAUCAUUAUACAACUACGGAUGUGAUAAAUUCAUUUGAGUGAUAAAAAAAAAGAGAAAUGAAAAAAAAAGUAAUCAGCACUACAUUUUAUAGAAAGGAAGCUUAUGCAGCCUUUAUUUCUAAGAUCAACUGUAUUUAAAUACAGGGCUAGACUUUUUUGGGGUCCUUGACCCAGGCUCACACAUCCUAUCUUAGUUAAAGGAUGUAGAAAAAGAAUAAAACUGUAUUUGGGUGGAGGACUAAGGAACCCAUAGAUGUUCUGCUCAGAGGACUCUAAACAAUGGACAGAUGAAGCUGGAGGGGAAAGAGAAACCACGAAUGCAUCGCGGGGUUGGGACACUGGGGCUCAGAGAGGUGCAGUUACUAGGACAACAUCACACAGGAUGUUGUGGCCCCAGGACUGAAAUAUUUUCCUCAGUGGUAAAGUGGGGACAGCACUGCUCAAUUCCAAACUGGUGAAAUUUAAAUGAACAAAACCAGGAUCUCACUUACGUGUCGUGCGCAAGGUUUGGGUCGGCACUCAGGAAGUGAUAUUUUAUAAAAGUGGAUUUUCUUACCUGGGGUGCCCAGCAACAAAGGAGAAAUUGUCCUGACUCCAGAGUGAAAGAACAAGUCUCCAAAGAGCCUCAAGUGAAAUCAGGAAAGCUGGAGGGAGGCUCCGUGCCUCUAAAUCUGAGUGACGGAUGGACAUCCGCUAUUUGCCUAUGGGCCGAUUUCAAAAGCUACAAGCAGCUUUUAUUCCUUCACACCUAAAACGCAGCAGGGGAGUUCCCGUCGUGGCGCAGUGGUUAACGAAUCCGACUAGGAACCAUGAGGUUGCGGGUUCGGUCCUUGCCCUUGCUCGGUGGGUUAAUGAUCCGGCGUUGCUGUGAGCUGUGGUGUAGGUUGCAGACGCGGCUCGGAUCCUGCGUUGCUGUGACUCUGGCGUAGGCCGGUGGCUACAUCUCCGAUUGGACCCCUAGCCUGGGAACCUCCAUAUGCCACUGGAGCGGCCCGAGAAAUAGCAAAAAAAAAAAAAAAAAAAAAAAACGCAGCAGGGCAUGGCCUUGUAAAUGUGUUGGCUCAGGAGGGAGACGGUCUUUCUUCCUGGAUGGUGGGGCACUUUUCGUAAAAGCAGACAGCACUUCCGCCUGUGGGGCAAAUACAUAAGCCAGCGUGAGCAGAAAUAACCUGGGUUGGUUUUGGUCUUUGCGUGGUAUUCGCAUGGGGUCCGUGUCCUGCUGCACUUGGUGACUGAAGAGGGAAAAAGGCAGGACGUUGACUGAUGGAAUAAUGUGGAAAACGUGUCCUGGAUGACGUGAUUUUUUUUUGGUCUGCCCAACCCGCGCGCAGACUCACCUGGAAUUUCGACUCUAAUUAAAACCGUGAACUUGAUCCAGUGGGACAUUGAAAGAUGAAAUGCUCAUACUUUAAAUAAAGAGACAGGCUGCUUGGGGUAUGUUAUCUAACUAGUUAUAGAUUGUGACACUAUGAAGUUAAAAUAGCUUUAAAAAAAAAAAAAAGGAAAAAGAACUAGCAACGCUGAACUCUGAUGGAAAAAACACACAUACGAAACACGUAGGUUCUGCUGGUUGUAACCCUCCCAGAUGGUACAUGGAAAUAGUCAGCAAAAGCCACCCUCAAGGUCUGGGACUCAACCGUUUCAGGUGUGUCCGCGGAAGCUGAAGAGGUCAAUGAAUGGAGGGAAAAGGCUGGAUGCAGAAAGAUGCUCAUGGAGCCCUCAGUUCUAACAGCAAAACCUAGAAAUAACCUGGGUGUCCCAGGGAGGGAGUUUCCAGAUGAUGGCCCGCCAGCAAGACGAUGCAUGAGGCAUCCAUUAAAAUAACUGAAACCUGAGAAAUAAGGUAAUUGUGGGGGAAGAUAAACGAAGGGCCUGUAACCAAAUGAAACCACACGGUGAGAGGACGCGGAAGGUAAUAAACAAGGGUGGAAAGACCUCUGUUAGAAUCGUGGUGUUUGAACCUCUCCUUUCCUUCCUCAAAAUUGCCUUUAUCGUGACUACAUCAUCACGUUGACAGAAUUCUGAGAAUUUUUUUAGCCAUCAUGAGAACAUCCUUUAUUAUUCUAAAAGGAAUUCAGCCAAACUAGUUUGGAUACAUGGAAAGAUACAGAAAGUGAACACACCCGGUAAAUAGAGCCGUUUUAGAUGUUUGUUUUUUUUUUAAUGUAAAUGUCUCAAAAUGGCACCUGCUGGGGAGCAGGAUGGGCAGCCCUUUGGGGAACCAAAGCCCUGGGCUCAGCGUUGACCCUCACGAAAGUCUCCAGGGCUCCCGCAUUGCAGUUCAAAACAAAAACCACCCAUAGCCCCAUUUUCAAGAGCAAAAACCACAAGCCACAGCAUCAGUCAUUGCCGGGGAUGCAUCAGUUUCUUGUUUCCCAUUGAGAAGCUGCAGAAAGGGCUCCCUUAAUCCGCCGUCAAAGUGGAAACUGGCAGCCGUUUGGGUUUAAAGAAGCAGAGAAAGGCAGCGGUUCACCAGAGGAGUAUCAGCUCUGGCUCCGCAUCCCAUGUGGGUGGAUUCUGUGGCCCUGGGGCAGAGGCGGAGGGCUCUGGACAUAAAUCCCCCAGAGCCUAAACCCAGACAGAGACGGCCAGCUGCAGACAGACGUAUAACCAGGACAGGAGAAAAGGGCUGUGGGGCUGAGCCCCCGGGCAUGAGUAGAUGGCCUGCUGGGGACAAGCUGUAGAGUUUACACCAGACGUGGCGCACUGGGAGAACCAGAGCCGGUGCUUGCAUGGGAAGCCAGUCUUCCCUUGUGAAAAAUCCACCCAUUGUCCACGUUGUUUUUUCUGUUUAGGGCCACACCCACGGCAUGAAGUUCCCAGGCUAGGGUUCGAACUGGAGCUGUGCCGACACCACAGCCACAACAAUGUGGGAUCUGAGCCACGUCUGCAACCUACACCACAGCUCACGGCAACACCGGGUCAUUAACCCACUGGGCUAGGCCAGGGCUCGAACCUGGGUCCUCGUGGAAACUAGUCAGGUUCAUUUCCGCUGAGCCACGAUGGCAAGUCCCUGUAUACAUUUAAUUACACGUACUGUGUGGGUCUGGAGGCCAACCGUUCAGGUGGGGGGAUGUGGGGGAAGGCAUGUGACUUGAAGGCUCUGGAUCCAGGUAGUGACUCUGCUAUUCAGCUGGUUGGGGAUGGUGGACAGGUCACUUUAUCUUUGUAAACCUCAGCUGCCUCCUCUGAGUAUAAAAUAAUAUGGUGGGUGUGAUUUGCCUAGACUGGCAACUGGCACAGAGUAGACGCUCAAUAAAUAGUGUCUGCAGGUAGCAGGAAUGAUGAUGGAAGAACAGAUCAUUAUUACAUAGAACUAAGGUAUGUAUUACAUGUAUAUAUAUUAAAGAUGCACAUACAGAUAUAUACAUACAUAUGCAUGUGAGUAUACACACACACACACACACACACACACACAUACAUCAUGGCAGGUGGUGAGCAACAGCUUUGGGCUUAGAAUAAGCUAGAGAAGGAGUGAAGCUUUACACGACCCACUUGCUCACCUGUCAAGGAAUUCCCCCACAGACUUUGCCAAGAAAAUAGGAUGGGUCUGGCUGGAGCAAUGACCCACAGGAACUGGCAAUAUCUGACGAGGGGAUUCAGGGCAUAGUUUGUGAGAGGAGACCUGGUUCCUGCUUCAGGGCAUCAGUUUAGCCAGUAACUUGGAGCCCUUUCGGUAAAGCCGAUUAGGACUCGGUGUACGGUGAAGACACCUACAGACCCCAGAGAGAUACUUUUUUAUAGCUGGAGCUGUGGUGGGAGGGUUACCCUAAACUCUGAUUUUCCACCACGUGGCACUCGGUAUAUGCGUGUUGGAUGCAUGGAUGAAGACCUAUUUUGUCUGCUAGGGACUGAUUUUUUUUUCUACUGAAGUAUAGUUGAUUUAUAAUGUUUUGGUUUCUGGUGUGCAGCAAACUGGUUCAGUGUUACUAUAGCUUAUUACAAGAUACUGAAUAUAGUUCCCUAUGGUAUAGACUGUAGACCUUGCUGUUUAUUUGUUUUAUGCAUAGUAGUGUGUAUCUGCUAACCCCAAAGUCCUAAUUUAUCUCUCCCUACCCCCUUCCCAUUUGGUAACCCUAUGUUUGUUUUCCAUGUCUGUGAGUCUGUUCCUCUUUUUAAGUUAAGUUCAUUUGUAUCCUAUUUUAGAUUCCAUAUAAAAGUGACAUCACAUGCUGUUGGUCUUUUUCUAUCUGGUUUACUUAGUGUGAUAAUCUCUAGGUCCAUCUAAAUUGUUGCAAAUGGCAUUAUUUCAUUCAAUUUUGAUGGCCGAGUAAUAUUCCAUUGUGUAUAUGUACCGCAUCUUCUUUAUCCAUUCCUGUCAGUGGACAUUUAGGUUCUUUCCUGGCUAUUGUGAAUAGCGCUGCAGUGAAGAUACGGGUGCAUGUAUCUUUUUGAUUAGCGUUUGCUCUUGGAUGUAUGCCCAGAAAUGGGAUUGCUGGGUCAUAUGGUAGUUCUAUUUUUAGAUUUCUAAGGAAACGCCAUGCUGUUUUGCAUAGGGGACUAUACCAAUUUACAUUCCCACCAACAGUAUAGGAGGGUUUGGGGAGCUGCUUAGCUGAGGAGUAUGUCCCGCUCCCCUGGUCAGGGUCCCCCACGCCUCCUUGUACCUCCAGUUGCAGGAUCCCUGUGGGAAUCAGUGCAAAGGUCUGCAUGGUGCAAGGAGGCAGCAGCAGAAGGCCCCCUGGUUCUCUUUGGCAUUUCAAACAUCACUUUGCCUGAUGAUGCUUCAUCUUCUUUGCUGUGAACUCCCCCUUCACCAAGUCCCCAAAGCUGAGCCAUAAUGUCACUUCUCCGCUCAGCCUGAGAUGUUGAGCUGGUGCCUCCUACUGGAAAAGACAUUUUCAGCUUCUUAGAGGAGUGGUGGUGCUGAAGUAGGUAAGUGGGCAGCUGAACAGAAGCACACCCAGGUGUGAAGGGCAGUGCUUUCCCUUAUAAGCUGCGUGGACAGUGGCAAGUUACAAAACCUCCUGCCCUCAGAAUCUUCAUCCAUAGAUGCAAAGAGGAGGCCACCUCGUAAGUCUAUGGUCAGAUUAGAAAUUAGAUGUAGGAGUUCCCACUGUAGCUCAGUGCGUUAAGUCCCCACGAGGAUGCUGGUUUGAUUCCUGGCCUCAUUCAGUGGCUUAAGGAUCCAGCAUUGCUGUGGCUGUGCUGUAGGACAACAGGUACUGCUCUGAUCCGACUCCUAGCCUGAGAACUUCCAUAUGCCACAGAUGCAACCAUAAAAAUAGGAAGGAAGGAAGGAAUUAGACCCAGGUUUGCAGCUUGCCUAGCACAGUGGGUGGCCCAUGCUCAUAGUCACGAUAAUGGGAAUUAUAUUCAUGAACAUAAUGUCUAGUCAUCAAGAACCCUCCUCUCCUUCAGUGGUUACUUAUUAGACACCUUUCAGAUGACAGGAACAACUCAAGGCACUGGGGCCACAGGUAUGGACAAAACAGACAAGGCUCACAGAGUUUGUUGUAGGAGGUAAAGAAAACAGUAAAUAGAUAGUCACAUGAUGUGUCCAGGAGUGUUAAGUGUUGUGGAGAAAAAUGAAGGGUAAGGGGUGGACAGAUGGGGCGCCACCGUGUAUGCAGUGGCCAAAAUGUCACUUCAGCAGAAAGGGAUCUAAGGCAGAGAAGAGACCGGCAUGCAGUGUGUGAGGAAGCCAUGAAGGUCUCUGGAGGCAGAAUAGUUCAGCAGAAGGAACCGCAAGUUCUUGAGUAGGGAGGGUGCUGGUCUUAUUUCAGGAGCACAAGAAGUCUAGAAUGGCUACAGGUAGUGAGUAAAGAGAAAAUUCUACAACAUGAGGUCAGAGAGUGCUGGGGACCCAUUAUGGAUGAACUCUUAGGCAAAGGUUUAAAAAAAAAAAAAAAAAAAAAAAGGACUUUCCUCAGUGCAAUGAGCCGUUGUAUCAGCAUGCUGUGUAACAAGUAAGCCUGAAACUUGGUGGCCUAAUAGGACAAACUUAUUUUUUGCAGUUCUCUGGGGGUGACUAGAGAGGUUCUU